AAGUCGUAACAAGGUUUCCGUAGGUGAACCUGCGGAAGGAUCAUUAACACGUAUCCAACGUUAAAACCCCCCGUGAACUUUCAGCUUGCUCCUGUAGCCCGUGAAACAGCAAUCCCUGGUAAAUCAUUGUUGACCAGCUUUUGAGUCAGGGACCUCUGCCGAUUGUGAUAUAUUAUAGCUACGGUUGAGCGAUUGCAUCUAGUGAUGUUCGGUUUUUGGUGCCGUGCGAAUUUCACGCGCGGCCAAUUCGUACUGUGUUGUCGUAAAGGGGCAGAGCCCGGUGACCCGGUCGCCGGCCGUGUGGGCCUACAGCGAUCGUGACUGCGCCAUCCUUACAUAAUCAAUGACACUUUCAGCCACUGAUUACUUGGGUAUGCCAGGUCAAUAGAUAUCUUGGUUCUC
rnacentral:misc_RNA from 1 species